rnacentral:misc_RNA from 1 species
GAUGAAGAACGCAGCGAAACGCGAAAGGUAAUGCGAAUUGCAGAAUCAGUGAGUCAUCGAAUCUUUGAACGCACAUUGCGCCCUUUGGCAUUCCGAAGGGCACACCUGUCCGAGCGCCGUCGCACAACUGAGGCGCAGCCUUGCGUUGGCGGGCGACUUGUGAGUAGCGAGUCGCCGCCCAAACGAGACGGCGCCGCGCCGCGGCCGACGAAGCACGAAAGCGGAAGUCGACGCGGAGGCGGUUGCCUGUAGGAAGACACAGCUUGGCCUCGGAUCAGGUGGGGAUACCCGCUGAACUUAAGCAUAUCAAUAAGCGGAGGA